GAAUUGUCCUCAGAUACGCUGAGGUCAUCCCAAAGGUAAUGACCUAGGGUAUGGUAACAACGGUUGAGAUGUAACAAUGGAUAAUCUGCAGCCAAGUCCUACGGGCCUUUCGGGGCCUAAGGAUGCAGUUCAACGACUAAAUGGUGGUGGGUUCAUCACAACAACACGUCCUGUGUACCUGUGAUGGGCAUAAGAUAUAGUCAACUCGGUGGCGAAAGCCAACG
rnacentral:ribozyme from 1 species